rnacentral:snRNA from 1 species
GGAUGUGAGGGCAAUCUGGCUGCAACUCUGUCACCUCACUGAUCACCAGGGUUGAUUCAGCUAACACAGCUGGCUAGGCGGCUGUCCCCUUCCUGCCCCAGCGCUCCGUGUGCAUCCCUCCUGAAGCUGCAUGCUUAGUUAAAGAGGACGGCCAUCCCUGAUACAGGAGGAUAGGACUGAUUUUUGGUCAAGGGUAUAUGAGUAGCUGCGCUCCCCUGCUAGAGCCUUUAAAUAAGCUCUCAAGAAGCUUGAAUGCUUAAUCCUGAUUAUGUUAAAGACAGAACAAUCACAGAGAAGAAAAAAGAAAAACAAAACCUCUGAAUCUUGGGAUGGGAACAUCU